AGGACGAACGCUGGCGGCGUGCUUAACACAUGCAAGUCGAGCGGUAAGGCCUUUCGGGGUACACGAGCGGCGAACGGGCGAGUAACACGUGGGUGAUCUGCCCUGCACUCUGGGAUAAGCCUGGGAAACUGGGUCUAAUACCGGAUAUGACCUGCUCUCGCAGUGGGGGUGGGUUGGAAAGAUUUAUCGGUGCAGGGAUGGGCCCGCGGCCUAUCAGCUUUGUUGGGUGGGGUAAUGGGCCUACCAAGGCGACGGACGGGUA
rnacentral:rRNA from 1 species